rnacentral:rRNA from 1 species
GAUGAACGCUGGCGGCGUGCCUAAUACAUGCAAGUCGAGCGAACAGACGAGGCGCUUGCUCCUCUGACGUUAGCGGCGGACGUGUGAGUAACACGUGUAUAACCUACCUAUAAGACUGGUAUCACUUCGGGAAACCGGAGCUAAUACCGGAUAAUAUAUUGAACCGCAUGGUUCAAUAGUGAAAGACGGCUUUGCUGUCUCUUCUAGAUGCUUCCGCGCCGCAUUAGCUAGUUGGUAAGGUAACGGCUUACCAAGGCUACGAUGCGUAGCCGACCUGAGAGGGUGGUCGGCGACACUGGAACUGAGACACGGACCAGACGCCUGAGGGAGGCAGCAGUAGGGAAUCUUCCGCAGUGGGCGAAAGCAUGACGGAGCAAGGCCGCGUGAGUGAUGAAGGUCUUCGGAUCGUAAAACUCUGUUAUUAGGGAAGAACAAAUGUGUAAGUAGCUAUGCACGUAUUGACGGUACCUAAUCAGAAAGCCACGGCUAACUACGUG